rnacentral:precursor_RNA from 1 species
CUCGGACGCAGGAGGCCGGCGUAGACCUACCUGUCAGCCUCGGCCCCCCGUCCCUACC